AGCACUUGUUGGCUUCUCCAUGAGGCUGCACAUGCCUUCAUGCCUGUUUUUUUUUGUAUGAGUUAUGAAUGACAACUUGGUCAAAAACAACAAACUGAGCAUCACUACAGUUUGGUCAACAUGAAGAUUUGGUUGAAAUUAAAAUUCCAGUCUCCUAUUUUCCAGUGAAAUAUUGACGAAGAACUGUUGACCUACAUCUUGUGUGUCCUGGAUGGCCAGAGCUGGACUGGGCACAGAGCUCCAUAACCAUGGCAACAGCAUUACCUGCCUGGGUCAUGGUGUGGUACCAUGUUGGGCCAGAAUGGCAGAUGUCAGAGAGAGGCACCAUGCCCCAGGAAGGGUUACAAGGACCCCACAGAUGGAAGGAACCAUGGAGGCCAACUUACUCCACCUAGCAUUUAGAUCCAAAGGAAAUGAGACUCAGAAACAAGGAAUAAUUGGCCUGAGAUCACCUAGCCACCAGAAGGGGUUCCUCUGGGCUUCUCUACAGCUCCAUCCAGGAGCAGCAGGAUCUUUCAUUGUGACGAUGGACUUGGGGAAAAGAGGCAAGACAUCAAGAGGCAGUGAGAACCUGCAAAAUAUUUCUUUGGAAGCAUGGUUCCUUUAG
ensembl:lncRNA